UACGGAGGGUGCAAGCGUUGUCCGGAUUUAUUGGGUUUAAAGGGUGCGUAGGCGGCUUAUUAAGUCAGUGGUGAAAUCCUGCAGCUCAACUGUAGAAUUGCCAUUGAUACUGACAAGCUUGAAUUCAGGCGAGGUAGGCGGAAUUGACGGUGUAGCGGUGAAAUGCAUAGAUAUCGUCAAGAACACCGAUUGCGAAGGCAGCUUACUAGACUGACAUUGACGCUGAGGCACGAAAGUGUGGGGAUCAAACAGG
rnacentral:rRNA from 1 species